UGUGUUAUAAGUAUUAGGCUAUCAUGAUUAUACAGUGAGCAAGCUAUAUAAAUAAGUAUUUAAUAUAAUAAAAGUGUAGAGCAACAACCGAGGGUGUAAGGUAAAGGCUGAAUAUUGUAGAUUUAUUACAAUAUGUUGCAUGUUUGAAUUAAAAUACCUGUGGAUAUGCAGGAGCACACACUCUACAAAGGCCUGACUGGAGAUUUGCCUGAUCUAUCCGUCCUUCAGAUGACAGCGGCUCGCUUCAAGAGCAGGUGAAGCAAGUUGGGACAAUGUUGAAGACAUUUGCUCGCACUGGGCAAUCGGGUGCAGAUCAAACCCUAAUGCUGCGACGUCUUGGAGUUUGGCGAUGUUGUGCGUAGCAUGGACAACAAAAUGCUAUGCUGCAACGUUUCAGUGCCAAUGUGUCUGUUGGAGAGUUAUCCCUGCCAGGGGAUCUGUUACU